CUCCGCAGAGAACUCAACACACUAUCGUAUCGCAAUACGAACACCACCGGUUCGACAAAAAUUCUAAGGAAAUGACAGAACACUUGCUCUCACAACUUCACCAUAACAACCAUACACAUACCACCCGCAUAUUCAAAGUCAACUAAAUUCAUUGACCAACAAUUAAUUAAAAAUACUCAAAUAAUUAAAUCAAUCAAUUUUUCACAAUAAAAAUAAUUUAAUUAUUUUCCUACUUGCGCACCCCCGCGAAAUUAUUAAUCUGACCCUCUCAUUCCACUAGAACCAAUAUUUCUAGUGCACCCCCGCUUUUACUCAAAUCACAACACAUAAUAAAGCACACUUUUUCAUGUACCCCUUUUUAUUUUAAAUACACCCCUCUCUCUUAAAAUUACCAACCCAAAUGGACCCAUUAAUCUUUUUAAUUUUAAACUCAAACUUUAUUUUACUCUCUCUCCAAGUGGACCCCACUUGAAAUAAACUUUUCCCACAAAAACUCUCUUUCUCUCUCCAUUUUUCCUACUUUUCUACUUUUACAGUAACCAAACUUUCUCUCCCUUCUCUCUUUCACACCAUAUACGUAAAUNUCCCUUCUUCAUCCAAUCACACUACAUUUUUCUNUUUUCUCUCCCUCAUUAAAGCUCACGGCCCCACCUCCUUCCACUCUUUAUUUCAUUUUGAUUUUCCCCACUCAUAAUUCUACACAAUUUACGUAACUCCCAUGCGCUCACACCUUCAUCCCUUCUUUCUUUUUCUUCAUUGACUUUUCAACCCAACCCACCUUUGUUCACCCUCACUUUUACGUCACUUACUACCCCUACUCUCUUCUUAUCUUAUCUUUUCUUCUUGACCCAAAAACCCCAAUCAUAACUUCUUUCCCUUCCAUCAUUUACGUAAACCUUUAGAACACACACCAUUCUUCUUAUUUUCUCUUCACACAACUAAAACCCCUUCUACUUCUCUCAUCACAAAUACNUANAACCCAUGCAACCAAACUUCUUCUUUCUUUGCCAUUCCAUCAACCUCAUGUACCCCAACUCACCAAAACAUCACUUCCAUUCUAUAUUCUCAUAACUUACUCUUUUCUCUUCCAACAAUGGAAGAGAAUUUCCAAUACCCUCUUACCCACACUCUAGGUCAAAGAGUGUAGAUAAGUGACCCUUUAUAUAUAUAAUUUAUGCAAGGUAAAAUUAAACAAGAUACACACCAUAGAAAGAUGACUUUAAGUAUACCCAUGACAUUUUUCAUACACAACAACACCCCAAUUCACCCAACAUGUAUACCCAUUCCAUCAACAACACUUUUUUCGUAAAAUAUAACCAUGUGUAGUCCAUUAUAUACCCCAUAUAAUAGCAAAAACGAAAAUGAACAUGUGAAUACCCAUUCUCCAUCAACAACCCAUGAAACUUGAACCCAAAAUAAGAGUGCAUACAUCAACAUAUUAUUUUUAAUCUCAACCCAAAAGAAAGAAAGUAUGCAACAACAUGUUAACUUUAAUCACAACACAAAAGAAAGAAACAUGUAUCAACAUUAUCAUGUUACCUUCUACCCAUCAUACCCCAUAUUAUAUCCCAAGUUAAACCCCUUACCUCUAGUCCAAGCUAGCUUCCAAGGUUUUUAGGUUUCUUUCCUUCACUAGACACCAAGCUUCCACUCUUCUUUUUCUCCUACAAGUCACGUCCAAAACACCAAGGCUAUGGUGGCUCUAUUCUUUUCUCUCACUAACUUGGUUGCUCUCCAAAUGUGCCUUACCCACUCACUCACGGUUCUCUCUCUUUCUUUUCCAUUCUCUAGAAAGUUUGUAAUACAACCUAACUAAAUUAAAAUAACCCACUUAAGUGGAACCAAUCCUAAACCUUACUAACCCAUAAUCAACCACUCAAGGUUACCCCCAAGGGCACCCUACCCAAACCACUUCAGAUUCUUCUAUUCCUAACUCCACUUUAACUACAAUAAAACACCACUUUAAAUGUGUGUAAAAGAUAGAAUU
rnacentral:lncRNA from 1 species